rnacentral:rRNA from 1 species
CAGCCGCCGCGGUAAUACGUAGGGUGCAAGCGUUAAUCGGAAUUACUGGGCGUAAAGCGUGCGCAGGCGGUUUUGUAAGACAGAGGUGAAAUCCCCGGGAUCAACCUGGGAACUGCCUUUGUGACUGCAAGGCUAGAGUACGGCAGAGGGGGAUGGAAUUCCGCGUGUAGCAGUGAAAUGCGUAGAUAUGCGGAGGAACACCGAUGGCGAAGGCAAUCCCCUGGGCCUGUACUGACGCUCAUGCACGAAAGCGUGGGGAGCAAACAGGAUUAGAUACCCGCGUAGUCCCUGUCUCUUAUAC